GGCGGACGGGUGAGUAAUGCCUAGGAAUCUGCCUGGUAGUGGGGGACAACGUCUCGAAAGGGACGCUAAUACCGCAUACGUCCUACGGGAGAAAGCAGGGGACCUUCGGGCCUUGCGCUAUCAGAUGAGCCUAGGUCGGAUUAGCUAGUUGGUGAGGUAAUGGCUCACCAAGGCGACGAUCCGUAACUGGUCUGAGAGGAUGAUCAGUCACACUGGAACUGAGACACGGUCCAGACCCAUACGGGAGGCAGCAGUGGGGAAUAUUGGACAAUGGGCGAAAGCCUGAUCCAGCCAUGCCGCGUGUGUGAAGAAGGUCUUCGGAUUGUAAAGCACUUUAAGUUGGGAGGAAGGGCAGUAAAUUAAUACUUUGCUGUUUUGACGUUACCGACAGAAUAAGCACCGGCUAACUCUGUGCCAGCAGCCGCGGUAAUACAGAGGGUGCAAGCGUUAAUCGGAAUUACUGGGCGUAAAGCGCGCGUAGGUGGUUUGUUAAGUUGGAUGUGAAAUCCCCGGGCUCAACCUGGGAACUGCAUUCAAAACUGACAAGCUAGAGUAUGGUAGAGGGUGGUGGAAUUUCCUGUGUAGCGGUGAAAUGCGUAGAUAUAGGAAGGAACACCAGUGGCGAAGGCGACCACCUGGACUGAUACUGACACUGAGGUGCGAAAGCGUGGGGAGCAAACAGGAUUAGAUACC
rnacentral:rRNA from 1 species